rnacentral:lncRNA from 1 species
AGUGUUUGGGUGAAGACGGAGGCGGGUUCUGGACAGACCUACGCUGUCGGGGAGUGUUUACUUCGCCUCCACUUCUGUUCCUCCCCGCCCUGGUGCUGCUCCAGGUCACAUACUCUUCCUGAGCCGGCUUCAGCCUCUCCGCGCAGAAGUCUCCCGGAGCCAUGGCCUAGUAUUCUUAUGUGAAGUCUACCAAGCUUGUGCUCAAGGGAACCGAGAUUUGCCUGAGGUUGACUGUACAUGCAAAUAUUGAGCUUUCCUCCUGGCCUCCGUGAUAAACAGAAGUUUUGAUAUUGUUAGGCGAGAUGGAAAGAAAGUAUCAAGGAGUGAGCUGAAGCCACUGCCCUUGAGAACCCUCUCGAGGAGUCUGGCCUCAUGAAGAUGCCAGAAUAAAUGGCAGUAAGAAGAAAAAGAGCAAAGAUAAGAAGAGAAAAAGAGAAGAUGAAGAAACCCAGCUUGAUAUGUUGAGGAACGCAGCUGCUCACCAGCAACGGAACAAAGCUGGACGGAGAAUGACUUUGAAGAGCUGAGAGAAGGCUUCAGACGAUCAAAUUACUCUGAGCUACGGGAGGACAUUCAAACCAAAGGCAAAGAAGUUGAAAACUUUGAAAAAAAUAAAUGUACAUUAAUUAACGUGGAAUCUGGUGAACAGUAACAAACUUUGGUGAAAUUUCAGGAACCAUAGCCAUUGAAGUGGAUGAGGGAACCUAUAUACAUGCACUCAACAAUGGUCUUUUUACCCUGGGAGCUCCACACAAAGAAGAAUCGCCCUGAAACCUGGCUAUGGAAAAUAUCUUAGUAUAAAUUCAGAUGAACUUGUUGUUGGCGUUCAGAUGCAAUUGGACCAAGAGAACAAUGGGAACCAGUCUUUCAAAAUCAAGAGGUCAGAAAUGGUGGGCCAGCUGAGAUGGGAGAAGAAAAGAGAAAUGGCACAAAGUGGAGAGAAGACACCGACCAUACCUCCUUUCCUCUCUUUCCCACCACAGGUGGACAGCCCAAAGCACACUCCAACUGGAGGAAGGUUUGCCAUUAAAGAUAAGGUGGAGUUUUGAUUAUUA